rnacentral:tRNA from 1 species
GCGGACGUGGCGGAAUUGGUAUACGCAAUAGCCCAAGGAGCUAUACCCUUUUGGGUGUGGAGGUUCGAGUCCUCUCGUCCGCA